rnacentral:rRNA from 1 species
CCUACGGGAGGCAGCAGUGAGGAAUAUUGGUCAAUGGCCGUAAGGCUGAACCAGCCAAGUCGCGUGAAGGAAGAAGGAUCUAUGGUUUGUAAACUUCUUUUAUAGGGGAAUAAAGGUAUCCACGUGUGGAUAUUUGCAUGUACCCUAUGAAUAAGCAUCGGCUAACUCCGUGCCAGCAGCCGCGGUAAUACGGAGGAUGCGAGCGUUAUCCGGAUUUAUUGGGUUUAAAGGGUGCGUAGGUUGUUUUUUAAGUCAGCGGUGAAAGUUUGGGGCUCAACCAUAAAAUUGCCGUUGAAACUGGAAGACUUGAGUGUGUUUGAGGUAGGCGGAAUGCGUGGUGUAGCGGUGAAAUGCAUAGAUAUCACGCAGAACUCCGAUUGCGAAGGCAGCUUACUAGGCCAUAACUGACACUGAAGCACGAAAGCGUGGGGAGCAAACAGGAUUAGAUACCCGAGUAGUC